UGCAGUCGAACGGCAGCACGGACUUCGGUCUGGUGGCGAGUGGCGAACGGGUGAGUAAUACAUCGGAACGUGUCCUGUAGUGGGGGAUAGCCCGGCGAAAGCCGGAUUAAUACCGCAUACGCUCUACGGAGGAAAGGGGGGGAUCUUAGGACCUCUCGCUACAGGGGCGGCCGAUGGCAGAUUAGCUAGUUGGUGGGGUAAAGGCCUACCAAGGCGACGAUCUGUAGCUGGUCUGAGAGGACGACCAGCCACACUGGGACUGAGACACGGCCCAGACUCCUACGGGAGGCAGCAGUGGGGAAUUUUGGACAAUGGGCGCAAGCCUGAUCCAGCAAUGCCGCGUGUGUGAAGAAGGCCUUCGGGUUGUAAAGCACUUUUGUCCGGAAAGAAAACCUCCGCCCUAAUAUGGUGGGGGGAUGACGGUACCGGAAGAAUAAGCACCGGCUAACUACGUGCCAGCAGCCGCGGUAAUACGUAGGGUGCAAGCGUUAAUCGGAAUUACUGGGCGUAAAGCGUGCGCAGGCGGUU
rnacentral:rRNA from 1 species